rnacentral:rRNA from 1 species
UACGUAGGGGGCAAGCGUUGUCCGGAUUUAUUGGGCGUAAAGAGCGUGUAGGCGGCCAGGUAGGUCCGUUGCGAAAACUCGAGGCUCAACCUCGAGACGUCGGCGGAAACCCUCUGGCUAGAGUCCGGAAGAGGAGAGUGGAAUUCAUGGUGUAGCAGUGAAAUGCGUAGAGAUCAUGAGGAAGACCAGUGGCGAAGGCGGGUCUCUGGACAGUUCCUGACACUGAGGCACGAAGGCCAGGGGAGCAAACGGG